AUUGAACGCUGGCGGCAGGCUUAACACAUGCAAGUCGAGCGGAGAUGAGGUGCUUGCACCUUAUCUUAGCGGCGGACGGGUGAGUAAUGCUUAGGAAUCUGCCUAUUAGUGGGGGACAACAUUCCGAAAGGAAUGCUAAUACCGCAUACGUCCUACGGGAGAAAGCAGGGGAUCUUCGGACGUUGCGCUAAUAGAUGAGCCUAAGUCGGAUUAGCUAGUUGGUGGGGUAAAGGCCUACCAAGGCGGCGAUCUGUAGCGGGUGUGAGAGGACGAUCCGCCACACUGGGACUGAGACACGGCCCAGACUCCUACGGGAGGCAGCAGUGGGGAAUAUUGGACAAUGGGGGGAACCCUGAUCCAGCCAUGCCGCGUGUGUGAAGAAGGCCUUAUGGUUGUAAAGCACUUUAAGCGAGGAGGAGGCUACUGAGACUAAUACUCUUGGAUAGUGGACGUUACUCGCAGAAUAAGCACCGGCUAACUCUGUGCCAGCAGCCGCCGUAA
rnacentral:rRNA from 1 species